rnacentral:rRNA from 1 species
UACGUAGGGGGCUAGCGUUGUCCGGAAUCAUUGGGCGUAAAGCGCGCGUAGGCGGCCAGAUAAGUCCGGUGUGAAAGUCAAAGGCUCAACCUUUGAAUGCCGCUGGAAACUGUCUGGCUUGAGUCCGGGAGGGGCGAGUGGAAUUCCUGGUGUAGCGGUGAAAUGCGCAGAUAUCAGGAAGAACACCCGUGGCGAAGGCGGCUCUCUGGAACGCAACUGACGCUGAGACGCGAAAGCGUGGGGAGCAAACAGG